GCCGUCUCCUAGGACCAGGACUCUGGGUUUGGGAGGCUGGCGGUCUUGGCCCAGCAGUUCAGCGGCUGCCCGGUGUGUCUGCCUGGCCUGGCCCCCGUCUGGUUGCUGCUGUCAGGGAGGCGCUCCUGCCCUUGCCCAGGCGGGGCACUGCGGGGGCGAGGAUGCGGAGUGGGAGACCGCUGAUUCCGGAAUCGAAACUCCGGGGGCAUCCGUGUAGCAGAGUGAUUCUCAGAUGAUUAAGAAAACCAUCGCUGAUUUAAAGAAAGUGUUCACUGCAGUCCUUAUUGAGUGGUUUGCCACGGGCAAGGCGUGUGGGGGUGGCGCACUGGGCUGCAGACACCCUUCAUGACGGCAGGCAGGGGACCUCCUAGGAGUCUUGGCUGUGACAAGUGAGGUGUGAGGGCUAGAGAGGUGAACAUGUGGACUCUGUGACCCAGAAGUAACACACUCCUUUCUUGGAAAGCAGUUAGGUAUUCCAUUCCUUAGUCCAUAUGCCAUCGUUUAAAAUGGCCAAAACCAGAGGCCUAGAGAAUGUACCUGGAAGAUGCAGUGAGACCGACCAUUUCUGAUCAUUGUGGCCUUUCUGAGGCUCAGGCUCCUCGCUUUGGAAAGGCCAUUUUGGCAGAGGUCUACUGUGAGGCAUCUCCCUGCAGGUGGAACUGGGGCUGCGCAUCUUUCUCAGGCUGGCAUCACACAGGCCCCAGUGCACUCUGGGAAGGCUGGGCGGACUGUGACGGGGGACCCGCUGCCUGCCCUCAGCCUGUCGGGCCCCACAGCGCAUCUCUCUGUGGACUGGUUGCCGGCUUCCUGUGGCCUGUGUGUCCUCGGGACGGCUGGAGCUUUGGAACCCUGUUCGGUAGCUCGGAGCUCGUGAGCCCAAAGGGCAGGGGCCUGGUUCCUCACCCAUCCUUGCCCAGCCUGAUGGCCCAUGCUUGUGGACUGUACGUGGGCACCUGCUUUAACCCCUGCAGGAGUGGGGGCCACCAGGAGCCUGUGGCUCUGGGCCUCCCUGCUAGAGUCACUCACUGGCAGGAGAACUGAGUGGGACCCACCAGGCAGUGUCUGUCUCAUGGACGCCCGUGGACGUGCAGCCUGGAGAGGGGGCCUGAAGUGUGUGUUCCGUGUUCUUGACCCCCAGGAAACACUGGCCUCUGUUGAAAGCCUCCUGCCGCAGAGCACUACUGCUGUCCCGGGUGGGCGGCCGUGUGGGCUCCUUGCUCUAGCGAUGCCAGUGCUCCUGGUGCUGUGUGUGACUGGCUCCCCUUUGUCUCAGCCCUGGGCUUAGAGCAGGCCAGGUGCUCAGGCAGUGCUUUUGUUGCUUAAAGGGGGAUGUGUACCUGGCUGCAACCUGUGGAGAGUGUGAAUGGCUGGCAGAAGCCAAGACGGGCUCUUGGGAGAUGAGAGCAGGCGGCCGGCCUGGAAGCUUCUGUGGGGCUGGUCAGCUCCUGCUAGCUCUUCCUGGCACAGAUCCAUGCUGGGCUGGGUGCCAUGGCUCACACCUGUAAUCCCAGCACUUUGGGAGCCUGAGGUGGGAGGAUCGCUUGAGCCUGGGAGUUCAAGACCAGCCUGGGCAACACUGUGAGACCCUAUCUCUAUUUUAAAAAAUAAAAAUAUAAACAUGGGAUCAUGGCGCAGGGGCAGCGCAAGUUCCAGGCGCACAAGCCCGCAAAGAGCAAGACGGCAGCUGCGGCCUCUGAAAAGAAUCGGGGCCCAAGAAAAGGCGGUUGUGUUAUCGCUCCCAAGAAGGCGCGCGGCGUGCAGCAGCAAAAGCUCAAGAAGAACCUAGAAGUCAGGAUCCAGAAGAAGAUCGAACAUGACGUGGUGAUGAAAGCCAGCAGCAGCCUACCCAAGAAGCUGGCACUGCUGAAGGCCCCUGGCACUGCUGAAGAAUGGGGCGGCUGCUGCCACCUCCUCCAAGACACCUUCCUGAGGACGCUGGCCCCAGCGCAGGCCAACACCCCACCCCUUACCUCCAUGUGGGAUCUUACAAGUGAUCCCACAGGCUGCACUGUCAGGAAGAGGACCCUGUCCCCUAGCACUGGGCUUCACCUAGAACUUGAGUGGGGGCCAAGGGUGCUGAGAACCCAGCAAUGACCAGGAAGAUACAGUCACCAACUUCAUCUGUCCCCAUGCCCCUUCCCAGGUCCUGCCUCCACAGGUU